rnacentral:tRNA from 2 species
GGGCCUGUAACUCAGCGGUUAGAGUGCCAUCCUUAUAAGAUGGAAGUCCUUGGUUCGAUUCCAAGCAGGCCCA